AUACCUUUCUCGGCGUUUUGGCUAAGAUCAAGUGUAGUAUCUGUUCUUAUCAAUUUAAUAUCUGAUACGUGGGCCAAUGGUCCACACGAUAUUAACUUAAUUUUUUUAAGGAGAAAGCCCAUAUAAAGUAGCUUGCUACUUGGGCUUUCGAGCGUCGUCUGGGCGUUGCACUACUGCCUAGGCCGGGCGCACCCCAC
rnacentral:snRNA from 1 species